GAGUUUGAUCCUGGCUCAGAACGAACGCUGGCGGCAGGCUUAACACAUGCAAGUCGAACGCCCCGCAAGGGGAGUGGCAGACGGGUGAGUAACGCGUGGGAAUCUACCGUACCCUACGGAAUAACGCAUGGAAACGUGUGCUAAUACCGUAUACGCCCUACGGGGGAAAGAUUUAUCGGGGUAUGAUGAGCCCGCGUUGGAUUAGCUAGUUGGUGGGGUAAAGGCCUACCAAGGCGACGAUCCAUAGCUGGUCUGAGAGGAUGAUCAGCCACAUUGGGACUGAGACACGGCCCAAACUCCUACGGGAGGCAGCAGUGGGGAAUAUUGGACAAUGGGCGCAAGCCUGAUCCAGCCAUGCCGCGUGAGUGAUGAAGGUCUUAGGAUUGUAAAGCUCUUUCACCGAUGAAGAUAAUGACGGUAGUCGGAGAAGAAGCCCCGGCUAACUUCGUGCCAGCAGCCGCGGUAAUACGAAGGGGGCUAGCGUUGUUCGGAAUUACUGGGCGUAAAGCGCACGUAGGCGGAUAUUUAAGUCAGGGGUGAAAUCCCGCAGCUCAACUGCGGAACUGCCUUUGAUACUGGGUAUCUCGAGUAUGGAAGAGGUGAGUGGAAUUCCGAGUGUAGAGGUGAAAUUCGUAGAUAUUCGGAGGAACACCAGUGGCGAAGGCGGCUCACUGGUCCAUUACUGACGCUGAGGUGCGAAAGCGUGGGG
rnacentral:rRNA from 1 species